AGAGAGAGAGAGAGAGGGAGAAGCAGGCUCCCCACUGAGCAGAGAGCCCACCAUGGGGCUCAAUCCCAGGACCUGAACUGAAGGCACACGCUUAAUCAACUGAGCCACCCAGGUGUCCCUGAUCUCAUCUUUAAUUAGGUUACUUUAUAGGAUCAUUUCAUAAUAACUGAAGGAAUAAUAGAAGAGAUGGUUUUAUCAGACAAGAUAUUUGGGAACUUACUAUCUUGGCCUAAAGAUUCAAGAAAAAGGGAACUACCUCUUCUUCAUUGUUUUUAACCUUAAAAACUAUGUUAUGAUUAUGAUUAUACUGACUACAUCCUGCACCAACUGGACUCGGUUAGCAGAAAAAAAAAAAAUUAGAGUAAUGUGGCUCACACAGUAUUUUAUGGACCAUGAUAAAAAGUGUGUAAGCAAGCAAAUGCUUAGAAUAGCAAAUGGCAAAAUCUAAUACCUAAAACUAUAAUGACCCAAAGAAAUGUUUCAUCAAAAUAAGUGCUUUGAAUUUUUCUGCCUGGCUUAAUGGCAGUGGCGGGGCAUGAAGGAAGAAAAAGGAGGCAGCAUAUUUACUCUGGCAUAGUCAGGGAAAAUGGCCAUUAAUUUAGAACCCACCCACUAAUUCAACUGGAUAACUAAAGGAGAUAAAAGGAGGAACCACAAACUGCAAGCCAGCCUUGUCCUUGGAUUGACUAAGUGCUGUAUUUGUUUGCUAGGGCUGCUGUAACAAGUCAUUACAAACUCAUUCAAUUACAUCUGCAAAGACCCUAUGUCCAAAUAAGGUCACAUUCACAGGUAGGGGGUGGGGAACAACUUCAACACAGCUUUUGAGGACAGCAUAACUCACCCAAUUUGAAUCACAAGGGCAAGUAAAAAAAAAAAAAUGUCUGUGGUAUUAUAGCCUAGAGAUUCCACACUAAGGAGUAUGAGGUACACAGCCAGGACAUCUAGAUUUUUAAAGCGCCCCGAGUGACUCACAUGUUUCAGAACCACUAGGCUAAAGAGCUCUGGUUAUUAGUUUCUCAAAAGGAUAGUUUAGCAUAAUGAAGAAUGUGUUUCAAUGAGAAAAAUCUCUUUUCCUUUCAUCAUUUUGACAAAAAUGAAAAAAAAAAUAUCAAAAGGUGGUGAUCAAAAUGAGUGGCAUGUAAUCAAAAAGAAUUUUAGAAACUUACCAUCUGACAUGUGUUCUUUCCAUGAGCAUUUUCAUGCAUGGGUGUGUUGUACCACUGAGAGGUCCCAAGAUAGUCAUUGGCACUUUAGAAAUCAGCGGCUCUGCCACCACUGACCUGUGUGGUGUUUGGCUAGUUGUGACUAGGUAUGGAAACUACUCUUUCCCAAUGAUGAUAUUCAGUGAUUAGCAAACAAUGGAAACAGACCCUACUUUUAUAGAUUGAGGGGCCAUGAUGAGAUACUCUACAAUGAUGACAGAAGUGACCACUCCGUUUUUAUAUCUAUGGAUGCUCAUAUUAACACUACACCAAGUUAUCAAAGAAAAGGCAUUUCAGUGGGGUAAACUGUUGAAAUGUAAAAUUAUUUCUUAUGUUUCUUUUUUCAGAGUCUGAAGAACCCAUUUGAUAUAGAUGCCUAUAAAUCUUGUCAAAUAUUAUUUCACACUACUCUGUAGGCUCAUAAGGAUCUGAUGAUAGCAACUAAAUCAUUAUAAACUUCCCCUUGCUUGUCUCUUGGUUGGCUAUACCAUGUUUUCUAUCUAGCAUAGUCUACUUUGUAUCAUUGUUAUGGACUGAAUGUUUGUGUCCAGCCAAAGAUGUCAUAUGUUGAAAUCAUAACCCCCAACGUGAUGGUAUUAAGGGGUGGAACCUUUGAGCAGUGCUUGGGGCAGGGUGGACCCUCAUGAACAGGAUUAGUGCUCUUGUAAGAGCAGAGAGCCUGUUUGCUCUCUCCUGCUCUCUCACUCUCUCUUUGCUUUCUGCCAUGUCAAAAUACAAUAAGAAGACACCAUCUAUAAACCAGGAAGAGGACCUUAACCAGAACCCAACCUGCUGGCAUCUUGACCUUAGACUGUAGACUCCAAGUCUCCAGAAGUGUGAAGAAUAAGGGUUUGUUGUUUAAGCGACCUAGUCCAUGGUAAUUUGUUAUAGCACCUGGAAGUAACUAAAAGAAUCAUAAUUUCAUACUUAUACUUCAUACUACAUACUUUAAAAAAUACUUAAAAAUACUAGCCACCCUUUAUUCAUAGAGACAAACUUUUUGUUUUUCAUUCUCAAAUUCCCCUGUGAAGAACUUUCUUUUGCCUCAAGUUUAGAAAAUUCCCUUAAAAAAAAAAAAAAAAAAAAAA
rnacentral:lncRNA from 1 species